rnacentral:tRNA from 1 species
GAGCCAUUAGCUCAGUCGGUAGAGCACCUGACUUUUAAUCAGGGUGUCACAGGUUCGACUCCUGUAUGGCUCACCA